AUUGAACGCUGGCGGCAGGCCUAACACAUGCAAGUCGAGCGGAUGAAGGGAGCUUGCUCCUGGAUUCAGCGGCGGACGGGUGAGUAAUGCCUAGGAAUCUGCCUGGUAGUGGGGGAUAACGUCCGGAAACGGGCGCUAAUACCGCAUACGUCCUGAGGGAGAAAGUGGGGGAUCUUCGGACCUCACGCUAUCAGAUGAGCCUAGGUCGGAUUUGCUAGUUGGUGGGGUAAAGGCCUACCAAGGCGACGAUCCGUAACUGGUCUGAGAGGAUGAUCAGUCACACUGGAACUGAGACACGGUCCAGACUCCUACGGGAGGCAGCAGUGGGGAAUAUUGGACAGUGGGCGAAAGCCUGAUCCAGCCAUGCCGCGUGUGUGAAGAAGGUCUUCGGAUUGUAAAGCACUUUAAGUUGGGAGGAAGGGCAGUAAGUUAAUACCUUGCUGUUUUGACGUUACCAACAGAAUAAGCACCGGCUAACUUCGUG
rnacentral:rRNA from 1 species